rnacentral:rRNA from 1 species
CAGUCGCCGCGGGAAUACAGAGGAUGCAAGCGUUAAUCGGAAUUACUGGGCGUAAAGCGUGCGUAGGCGGUUUGUUAAGUCUGCUGUGAAAUCCCCGGGCUCAACCUGGGAAUGGCGGUGGAUACUGGCAAGCUAGAGUGUGUCAGAGGAUGGUGGAAUUCCCGGUGUAGCGGUGAAAUGCGUAGAGAUCGGGAGGAACACCUGUGGCGAAAGCGGCUCACUGGACCAUAACUGACGCUGAUGCACGAAAGCUAGGGGAGCAAACAGGAUUAGAUACCCCAGUAGUCCCUGUCUCUUAUAC